GAUCCUGGCUCGGGACGAACGCCGGCGGCGCGCCUAACACAUGCAAGUCGAACGAGCGAGAGAGAGCUUGCUUUCUUGAGCGAGUGGCGAACGGGUGAGUAACGCGUGAGGAACCUGCCUCAAAGAGGGGGACAACAGUUGGAAACGACUGCUAAUACCGCAUAAGCCCACGACCCGGCAUCGGGUAGAGGGAAAAGGAGCAAUCCGCUUUGAGAUGGCCUCGCGUCCGAUUAGCUAGUUGGUGAGG
rnacentral:rRNA from 1 species